CCGGCUGAACGGAGCCGAUGCGGUCGGCCGCUCCGAUCAGGGCGGCGCUUCCGCGCGUGGCGGCCAGAAUGGCUUCCAUCGCCGGCAUGCCCGGCUUCGACCAUGUACUGGAACUCCUUCGCAUUGUCGCCGUGGUUCGAAACGCCGGAGUCCGUGCCGAACGCGAUCUUCACGCCCGCGGCAUACGCGCGCUUGAACAUGUCCUGAAUGAGCGGCCCGAUGCGCGCCGCCUUUUCCUGCACGGUGGGAUGGAAGUGUCCCGGUAUCGUCGCCAUUUCCGCGACAGUCUUCCCCGCCAGAAUCGUCGGCACGAGGUAAGUGCCGUGCUGCUUGAACAAGCGGAACGUCUCAUCGUCACCAUAGGUUCCGUGCUCGAUGGAAUCGACGCCCGCACGAAUGGCGGAGUCGAUCCCGCGCUUGCCGUGUGCGUGGGCAGCGACCUUCAUUCCCAGCAGAUGCGAGGCUUCAACGAUGGCCUCGAGCUCCUCGUCGGUGAACUGUUGCGCGUCACCGGAAUCACCGAUCGAGAGCACGCCACCGGUCGCGGUGAUCUUGAUGAGAUCGGCGCCGUACUUGUGCUGGUACCGCACCGCCUUCCGCGCUUCAUCGGCGCUGUCGACGAUGCCGUCCAUCCACGUUGGUGCCACCCAGAGAUCCGGCCGGAGGCCGCCCUGAUCGCCGUGACCGCCCGUAAUGCUGAUGGUCGUCCUCGCGCGGUCCAGAUCCUGGGUCCCGGGAACGAUGCCGGCCUCGAUGGCGCGCUUGAGCGCGACGUCCGCCCCGCCUUCCGCCCCCAGGUUCCGGAUCGUGGUGAAUCCGGCCUCGAGCGUCCGCCUGGCGUAAGCGGUCGACUUCACCGCGUCGUCGAGCGGCGAUUCGGUCGCCGCGCGGACGAUCGCGUUGCCAGUGCCCUCGCCGGUGAUGUGGGUGUGCGCGUCGAUGAACCCCGGAAGCACGGUCGAGGUGCGCAGGUCGAUGACCUUCGCGCCCGAUGGCGCCACGAAUCCAUCCUGAAUGCCGAUGACUUUGCCGCCGCCCACGAGCACCGUGACGUUCUGGCGGCGGCGUCAUCGAAACACCGUCAAUCAGCCGGCCGGCCUGGACGGCGACCUCGACCGCUGGCGCCUGUGUCUGCGAACGGCCCGAGGUCAGCCAGACUGCGACAAAGACGGCUGCAAGAAACCAAACCCUGGUCGUUCUUGGCAUAUGGCGGUGCUCCGCGUGGAUUCUACCGUCAUAAUUCCCGGCGACCCACGAGGCGACCAUGAGAUGGACCGGCUUAUCGGUGCUAGUGAUCUCGCUGAUCGUUUUCCCGGAGCGGCCUGCGAUGCAGGUCAAGUUGUCGCCGGAGGCGGCCCUCGCCCAGGCCGAGGCGCGAUGGCGCGAGCGCGGACCGAAAACGUAUCAGUACCAGAUCUCCAUCACGUGCGAAUGUCCCCGGUUCCUGAACGAUCGGGUUCGCGUCAUCAAAUGGCCGGUCCCGGAACCAGUGAACGGACUGGACGGUUUCAAUACUAUCGAGAAGCUGUUCGAGGGGAUUCGCAGCGCCAUUUCACGCGGUCAGUACCGAAUCCUCUGUGAAGUAUGACGAACAGUUGGGCUAUCCCCGCUCCGCCGAUCUGGAUCCCAGGGCGCGAAGUCGCCGACGACGAACUGUUCUUCGUGGUC
rnacentral:misc_RNA from 1 species